rnacentral:rRNA from 1 species
CUGGCGGCAGGCCUAACACAUGCAAGUCGAGCGGGCAUCCUUCGGGAUGUUAGCGGCGGACGGGUGAGUAACGCGUGGGAACGUGCCCUUUGCUACGGAAUAGCCUCGGGAAACUGAGAGUAAUACCGUAUGUGCCCUUCGGGGGAAAGAUUUAUCGGCAAAGGAUCGGCCCGCGUUGGAUUAGGUAGUUGGUGGGGUAAUGGCCUACCAAGCCGACGAUCCAUAGCUGGUUUGAGAGGAUGAUCAGCCACACUGGGACUGAGACACGGCCCAGACUCCUACGGGAGGCAGCAGUGGGGAAUCUUAGACAAUGGGGGAAACCCUGAUCUAGCCAUGCCGCGUGAGCGAUGAAGGCCUUAGGGUUGUAAAGCUCUUUUACCCGAGAUGAUAAUGACAGUAUCGGGAGAAUAAGCUCCGGCUAACUCCGUG